rnacentral:rRNA from 1 species
GACGAACGCUGGCGGCGUGCUUAACACAUGCAAGUCGAGCGGUAAGGCCCUUUCGGGGGUACACGAGCGGCGAACGGGUGAGUAACACGUGGGUGACCUGCCCUUAGCUCUGGGAUAAGCCUGGGAAACUGGGUCUAAUACCGGAUAUGACUCCAUGACGCAUGUUGUGGGGUGGAAAGCCUUGUGCGGCUAGGGAUGGGCCCGCGGCCUAUCAGCUUGUUGGUGGGUGAUGGCCUACCAAGGCGACGACGGGUAGCCGGCCUGAGAGGGCGACCGGCCACACUGGGACUGAGACACGGCCCAGACUCCUACGGGAGGCAGCAGUGGGGAAUCUUGCGCAAUGGGCGAAAGCCUGACGCAGCGACGCCGCGUGAGGGAUGACGGCCUGG